GGAGAGAUGGCUGAGUGGUCGAAAGCGGCUGCCUCGAAAGCGGUUAUUCUGAUAAUAAUCGGAAUCGUGGGUUCGAAUCCCACUCUCUCCA
rnacentral:tRNA from 1 species